rnacentral:rRNA from 1 species
UACGUAGGGGGCAAGCGUUGUCCGGAAUUAUUGGGCGUAAAGGGUGCGUAGGCGGCCUUUUAAGUCAGAUGUGAAAGCCCGGGGCUCAACCCCGGGACUGCAUUUGAAACUAUCAAACUGGAGUGCAGGAGAGGUAAGUGGAAUUCCUAGUGUAGCGGUGAAAUGCGUAGAUAUUAGGAGGAACACCAGUGGCGAAGGCGGCUUACUGGACUGUAACUGACGUUGAGGCUCGAAAGCGUGGGGAGCAAACAGGAUUAGAUACCCUGGUAGUCCCUGAGCGGG